AGCGAACGCUGGCGGCAGGCUUAACACAUGCAAGUCGAGCGGGCAUCCUUGUGGUGUCAGCGGCAGACGGGUGAGUAACGCGUGGGAACGUGCCCUUCGGUUCGGAAUAACUCAGGGAAACUUGAGCUAAUACCGGAUACGUGCGGGAGCAGAAAGGUUUAUCUGCCGAAGGAUCGGCCCGCGUCUGAUUAGCUAGUUGGUGAGGUUACGGCUCACCAAGGCGACGAUCAGUAGCUGGUCUGAGAGGAUGAUCAGCCACACUGGGACUGAGACACGGCCCAGACUCCUACGGGAGGCAGCAGUGGGGAAUAUUGGACAAUGGGGGCAACCCUGAUCCAGCCAUGCCGCGUGAGUGAUGACGGCCUUAGGGUUGUAAAGCUCUUUUCUCCGGGACGAUAAUGACGGUACCGGAGGAAUAAGCCCCGGCUAACUUCGUG
rnacentral:rRNA from 1 species